rnacentral:lncRNA from 1 species
AAAUUAAAACAAUCUUUACCAUUCAGUGAUAACAAGCACCUUUUGUUACAUUUUAAUAUUUUAUGAUGUAUUUAAAUGAGUAGUUAUUGUUGCAAACUCCAUUAGAAAUUUGAAUUGAGAUCCGUUUUGGAAAAAGAGAAUGGGGAUGUGAAAAAAAAAUGGGGAGGGGGGGGGGGGUUAAAUUUUUCUCAUUUCAGAUUUCAUAAAUAAAAAGAAAAUUUCUUCAAACAUUUUUUUGAGAGGAUUCAUAUUCAACAGCAUAGUGAAUUGCUCAAAGGCAAAAAAAAAAUUUUAAGUUCAUUAGACCACAUUCAUUCUGUGUCAGAAACCUAUGCUGUGUCAACUAUUUAAUCACAAUCCAAAUUUAGAGCUGUAUCCAGCUUGAAUGUUGUGUCCAUACUUGCCCUAACCGUUCAGGGUUCAACCUCUGCGGUCGUAUAAAGCUGCGCUCUGUGGAGCAUCUGGUUAAGGAUCUGUUAUGAUUUAUUUUUAGCUCACCUGGCCCAAAGGGCCAAGUAAGCUUUUCUCAUCACUUUGCGUCCGUCGUCCGUCGUCGUCGUCUGUUAACUUUUACAAAAAUCUUCUCCUCUGAAACUACUGGGUCAAAUUAAACCAAACUUGGCCACAAUCAUCAUUGGGGUAUCUUGUUUUAAAAAUGUGUCCGGUGACCCGGCCAACCAACCAAGAUGGCCACCAUGGCUAAAAAUAGAACAUAGGGGUAAAAUAUAUAUUUUGGCUUAUAACUCUGAAACCUAAG